AUUGAACGCUGGCGGCAGGCCUAACACAUGCAAGUCGAACGGUAGCACAGAGAGCUUGCUCUCGGGUGACGAGUGGCGGACGGGUGAGUAACGUCUGGGAAACUGCCCGAUGGAGGGGGAUAACUACUGGAAACGGUAGCUAAUACCGCAUAACGUCGCAAGACCAAAGUGGGGGACCUUCGGGCCUCACACCAUCGGAUGUGCCCAGAUGGGAUUAGCUAGUAGGUGGGGUAAUGGCUCACCUAGGCGACGAUCCCUAGCUGGUCUGAGAGGAUGACCGGCCACACUGGAAAUGAGACGCGGUCCAGACUCCUACGGGAGGCAGCAGUGGGGAAUAUUGCACAAUGGGCGCAAGCCUGAUGCAGCCAUGCCGCGUGUAUGAAGAAGGCCUUCGGGUUGUAAAGUACUUUCAGCGGGGAGGAAGGCGGUGAAGUUAACAGCUUCACCGAUUGACGUUACCCGCAGAAGAAGCACCGGCUAACUCCGUACCAGCCGCCGCGGUAA
rnacentral:rRNA from 1 species